rnacentral:rRNA from 1 species
GACAGAGGGUGCAAACGUUGUUCGGAUUUACUGGGCGUAAAGCGCGUGUAGGCGGCUUUGCAAGUCGGAUGUGAAAGCCCACGGCUCAACCGUGGAAGUGCAUCCGAAACUGCAUGGCUUGAGUCUCGGAGAGGAAGGUGGAAUGCUUGGUGUAGAGGUGAAAUUCGUAGAUAUCAAGCAGAACACCUGCGGCGAAGGCGGCCUUCUGGACGAUGACUGACACUGAGGCGCGACAGCGUGGGGAGCAAACAGG